ensembl:lncRNA
UCCACGUCUUCCUCAGACAGAGAAGAGCACAGUUCUUGGAUCUUUCGAGUCAGCAGUACCACUUCUUUCUAAAAAAGAGAUUGAACCCUUUUCUUUCCAGGAAAAUCUUUCACAAGAUUCCAGAUUUGAAUUCAAAAAUCUCCCCACAAAGAUUAUAUGACAUUCACCUGUGUUUGGGAAAAAAAAUUAUUUUCAACACUGGAGAAAAAGACAUCUCAGAAAAGUCGUGGAGAAGUAGGAUAGUGGCAAAGAUACUAGUGAAAGAAGAAAAUUUGUGGAAUAGAAGUUCAGCUAAUGUGACAACCAAGAAAUUGGAAAGAAACUGGGGGAGCACUUCCAACUAAUAACCAACCCCCAAUUUUAUUAGACAUUAUAGAUUCUGACUUAAUGGAAUAUCUUGAGGAAAAUGAAGAAGAGAAUCAGAAUCAGGUGGCAAAAAACUAAUGGAAAAAUCAAUACAUGCUUCCCAGAAGUACUUAACUCAGAAGAAGAGAAAACAAAAAACUCUGAAAACCCUGGGCAAAACUUGACUGAAAACCCAUGUAGAGCAGGAAGACUCCAGCCAACUCUAGCAAAACCAUCUUGUCCCCUGCUCUCAAGAGACCCUCUCCAAUUCUCAAUGACUUUUGUUAAUAAAGUUCAUGAAGAUCAGAUAAGAGAAACAGAAUCAGAAUCAGAAUUGGAAAGAAGGAAUAAAGAACCAAAGAGCAAGAAACGGUCAAGGAUGAGUGAACACCUAGAUUCUGAUGUGAAUAUUUCCAAAAAUCCCGUUUUUUCAAAUAUUCAAAACAAAAACAUUUCAGAAAACGAGAGUGACAAAAUUACUGGUGGAAUGAGCAAACACAUACAACAGAAUUACAGCCAAUUUGAAGACCAAGAAAAUCAGGAAGCAUUUAACAUUAACCACCAGCCCCCAAAUACAUUUGAAAGUUAUGGAACCCUGAUCCCGGACACAAUCCCUAUUUCCAACGCUUCUUCAUUGGAAAGAAUCUUCGAGAAUCUAGGCCCAACUGACAAAUUUGAUGCCCUGAUGAGGGGAGAAUUCGUACUAGAUAUCAUUGAGUCUGAUUUCUUACCUGACUCUCCUGAUCUGAACAGACCAACAAAUAAAAAUAAAGAACAAAAGGAAGAAAACACAAAGGCAUCUGGUGAUCAAAAAGGAAUGAAAGUACAAAAGUUCUUAGGGCAUCAGUUUAAAAUUCUCAAGGAGCCCUUUUAUAAAAAUGAGUAUAACUCACCUAAUAAAGUCAAGGCUUUUUCUAAGACAUUGAACUUGACUCCACAGCAGGCAACUGAUGAAAUUCCAACCACCAGCAUGAACAACUCCUCUCUACAGAAAGGAAUCUUACUGGACUUAUCAAAUGAUAAGAAGAGAGAUGUGAUUCUUAAAUCUGAGAAUCCUGAGAAGAUGGAUUUCUUGCUCCAAACUCCACCUUUGACCAGAUUCAAAAAUGAGGAUGCAGAGAACAUAGAACCAGCUUCUAGACAAGAAAACAAAAUACGAUACAAAUUUUCAGAAUAUCAGUUACAGAUUCUCAGUGAAUACUUUCAGAGAAAUGAAUAUAUAAGACCUAAUGAAGUCAAGUUUCUUUCCAACACACUGGCUGUCUCACCCCAGCGGAUCAAAUUCUGGUUUGGUAACCAGAGAGCAAAGAAGAAGAAGAUGGGUACAUCAAACAGCACAUGAAAUGUGGAAGAUGUCAGAUGUACAGGAGCUGUUUUCUCAUAUCCAAGUUCCCAGAAUCCCAUGGUUACUGCUAUUUCUUCAUUCUAUGACCAUCAUAAUGCAAGAUGGAUACUCAUUCUUCUGUAAACUUACCCUCCCAGUAUUAUCAGUCAAUGCAAGGAAGUGGCUUCUGUGCUUCACAAGACCAAUUUCUUUAUCCGGGGCUGGGGUGAAUAUAUUUUGUCAAUAGGAUCAUCAACUUGUAAAUAGCUGAUAUUCAAUUAAAAAGGUACAAAUUGUUUAAUAGCUAUGAAAUAUUAAAUAGCAU